rnacentral:tRNA from 1 species
GCCGGCUUAGCUCAGUUGGUAGAGCAACUGAUUUGUAAUCAGUGGGUCGAGGGUUCAACUCCUUUAGCCGGCAC